GACGUAGGGCGCAAGCGUUGUCCGGAAUUAUUGGGCGUAAAGCGCACGUAGGCGGUUUGUUAAGUCGGAUGUGAAAUCCCUCGGCUCAAACUGAGGAAGUGCAUCCGAAACUGGCAGCUUGAGUAACGAAAGAGGGUCGCGGAAUUCCCGGUGUAGAGGUGAAAUUCGUAGAUAUCGGGAGGAACACCGGUGGCGAAGGCGGCGACCUGGGGUCGAUACUGACGCUGAGGUGCGAAAAGCGUGGGGAGCAAACAGG
rnacentral:rRNA from 1 species